rnacentral:rRNA from 1 species
AAUGAACGCUGGCGGCGUGGUUAAGACAUGCAAGUCGUAACGGUUUUUUCAGUGUAGCAAUACAUUGAAAAAGCAGUGGCGAACGGGUGCGUAACACGUGAACAAUCUACCUUCAAAGUGGGGAAUAGCUCGGCGAAAGCCGGAUUAAUACCGCAUGUGGUCGGGACUCUCCUGAGUCCCAAACUAAAGUCAGGGACCGCAAGGCCUGACGUUUGAAGAGGAGUUCGCGGCCUAUCAGCUAGUUGGCGAGGUAACGGCUCACCAAGGCUAAGACGGGUAGCUGGUCUGAGAGGAUGAUCAGCCACACU